AACGUAGGAGGCGAACGUUAUCCGGAUUUACUGGGUGUAAAGCGCGUGCAGGCGGUCGGCUAAGUUGGGGGUGAAAGCUCCUGGCUCAACUGGGAGAGGUCGCUCAAGACUGGCCGACUGGAGAGCAGUAAGGGAAGGUGGAAUUCCGGGUGUAGUGGUGAAAUGCGUAGAUAUCCGGAGGAACACCAGUGGCGAAGGCGGCCUUCUGGACUGCUUCUGACGCUCAGACGCGAAAGCUAGGGGAGCAAACGGG
rnacentral:rRNA from 1 species